AUCGAACGCUGGCGGCAGGCCUAACACAUGCAAGUCGAACGAGUGGCGGACUGGCGAGCAAUUUCGUGGAAACUGCCUGAUGUAGGGGGAUAACUACUGUAAACGGUAGCUAAUACCGCAUACCAUCGGAUGUGCCCAGAGGGGAUUAGCUAGUCGGUGGGGUAACGGCUCACCUAGGCGACGAUCCCUAGCUGGUCUGAGAGGAUGACCAGCCACACUGGAACUGAGACACGGUCCAGACUCCUACGGGAGGCAGCAGUGGGGAAUAUUGCGCAAUGGGCGCAAGCCUGAUGCAGCCAUGCCGCGUGAAUGAAGAAGGUCUUCGGGUCGUAAAAUACUUUCGGCAGGGAGGCGUUACCCACAGAAGAAGCACCGGCUAACUCCGUGCCAGCAGCCGCGGUAAUUC
rnacentral:rRNA from 1 species